AGGUAUGAGGGCGAUCUAGCUGCGAAAUCUGUCACCCAUUGAUCACCAGGGGUCUGAUCUGGCUGGCUAGGCAGGUGUCCCCUUCCUCCCUCACCGCUCCAUGUGUGUCCCUCCCAAAGCUGUGCACUAGGUUGAAGAGGUCGAGGACCGGCUUCCAUCAAGGGUAUAUGAGUAGCUGCGCUCCCCUGCUAGAAUCUCCACAUCUCCAGAUGCCAUGUUAAACUAGCUGAGCAUGGUCACACACCACAGUAACUCCAGUCCCACGGGGGAGCAGAGACCCCAAGUG
rnacentral:snRNA from 1 species